CAUAAAGUAAAUGAUUCUAGAAAAUGUGCAAGCAUAGUUGGUAUUCUUCCAUCCAUAAACACGAGAAUAGAUGCAUUUAAUUUGUCCUUCAAAUAUAAACAAGGAAAAACGAGGAAAAAUAUGUGUGUACAGACUCAAGAUCCAUGGCGAUUUUAAAUGCAGUCAGGAUCAUUUACUCCAGAUUCAUGCCACAUCUUCUCAUGAUUUUGGUCCAAAUUGGCUAUUCAUUUCUCUACACCAUUGCAGAAGCUGUCUUCAAUCAUGGGAUGAACCCUCAUGUCUUCGUUACAUACCGAUAAAUCGUAGGCAGCUUAGUGAUGUUUCCUGUUGCAUAUUUUCUUGAAAGGUGCAUUACACACAUGCAUACACCCACCAGAUAAAUUGCAAAGAAAAGCGAGGCCAAAGCUAACAAUUGUGUUGUUUCUGGAGAUAUUUGUGCUUUCUCUUCUAGGGUAUGAAGGGCAAUCCAUAUGCUUCAACAUAAAGCAAAACGAAACAAAAUUUUUUGUCUUUGUGAGAAAAGGAAAGGACUUACAGUUUUCUCUUUUGACGAAAGCCAGGACCAGCUUAACAAUUAACAUGUACUUUGCAAGCUUGAAAUACACUUCUCCUACCUUUGUUGCUUCAAUGAACAAUACCGUUCCCUCCAUGACUUUCAUAAUUGCAAUUAUACUCAGGUUGGAGAUUGUCGAUUUAAGGAACCCUCGAGGAAUAGCUAAAAUUGUCGGAACGUUACUAUCGUUGGCUGGGGUCUUGACCAUCACUUUAUACAAAGGACCUGAGGUGCGAAGCUUGCAGGGUGCACCAAUCCAUGUCAGAAGUAAUCAUGCUCAGCAAAACCGGGUGAAGGGGUCUUUUCUGCUUGUUUCGAGUUGCUUUACAUGGUCUCUCUAUUUUAUUAUGCAGAUGUGUACCUCGUAAGCAUACACACUGAAAAGGUAUCCUUCACAACUAUCACUAGCUGCAUGGAUAAACGGCUUAGCGGCGGCACAAUCAGCUGUCUUCACUGUGUUCAUACAACACGAACCAGCAGCAUGGAGCAUCAGAUCCAGCAUUAUAUUCUGGUCCAUCAUAUAUGCUGGAGUCAUUAGUUGUGGCUUGACGGUCUUCAUUCAAUUAUGGUGCAACAAAGAAAAAGAGGCAGUCUUUGUGACCAUCUUUAGUCCUCUUGCAACCGUAAUGGUGGCAAUCCUGGCUUACUUUCUUUUUGGUGAAGCGUUGCACGCAGGCAGGGGAGACUGUCCCUAAUUUAUCUCUGGCUAAAUCAGCAUAUUGGGAGGAGCUGUUGUUAUCAUUGGACUUUACAUGCUGCUGUGGGGAAAAGAAAAUGAGCGAGAUCGAAACAAGUCCCAAGAACCAUCUCUUUCCACUUAUGAUGAGGAAAAGUUAAGCCAGUUAGCAGUGGAAAGUUCAGCAGAAGACACAUAGUGAAACAGGAAGUUGAGAAAUAAAUCGAGAAUUGGGACUGAUACAAACGAGUCCUACAAUACUCAGAUCAUGAUGUCGGAAACGAAUGGCAUGGCAAAUAAAUCAAAGCUCGUUUAUUGAGCACUAAUAAUCAUUUUCUACAACAAUUAGUUAACAAAUUUUUCGAUAUUUCCAAGUGAGUAUCGAUAUCCCCAAACAACUAGUACAGUGAAUGUUAUUGCAAACUCUCUUAUCCUAUCUUAAUCAGUUAACUUCUGCAGAAUGUUAUUACAAUGGAGUUCUACAAUCA